CAACCCGCUCUUACUUCCAGUACAGGGACAAGACAUACAAGGAUAAAAAAUCUUCUCCUAAGCCCAUGGCUAAGUACCCUCUUUGGAGUGGAGGAGACCAUGCCAUCUUAAGAUUCACCUUGCUCAGAGGUAUUGAGUGGUUUCGGCCUCAACAGCGGGAAGUAACGACAAGUCCAGUCCAAAAUUACCAAAAUUACCUGGCACCAAAAAGGAGAAAAAGUAAUCAAGUCAGGCUCCUAACAGAGGCAUGUCAUCUCUUAGAAGCCUCCUAACACUGACAGAAACAUUUCUGGUCAGAAAUGAAAUGCCCUGUGUCAUCUGCCCUGGAAUGAUCAAUGGAAUGACAGCCCAGACAUGAAGUAUGAAAAGAUAUCUGUCCUUCAUUUGAAAGCCUCCAACGGAUCCAAGUGUUGCUGCAGAGGAAGGGGCCACUUGUGUGCAGCACCUCGAAGUGCCAGUCCUCACUCCUAAU